AGAGCGAACGCUGGCGGCAGGCCUAACACAUGCAAGUCGAGCGCCCCGCAAGGGGAGCGGCAGACGGGAGAGUAACACGUGGGAACGUACCCUUCAGUUCGGAACAACCCAGGGAAACUUGGGCUAAUACCGAAUACGUCCGUAAGGAGAAAGAUUUAUCGCUGAAGGAUCGGCCCGCGUCUGAUUAGCUAGUUGGUGAGGUAACGGCUCACCAAGGCUACGAUCAGUAGCUGGUCUGAGAGGAUGAUCAGCCUCACUGGGACUGAGACACGGCCCAGACUCCUACGGGAGGCAGCAGUGGGGAAUAUUGGACAAUGGGCGCAAGCCUGAUCCAGCCAUGCCGCGUGGAUGAUGAAGGCCUUAGGGUUGUAAAAGUCCUUUCGACGGGGAAGAUAAUGACGGUACCCGUAGAAGAAGCCCCGGCUAACUUCGUGCCAGCAGCCGC
rnacentral:rRNA from 1 species